rnacentral:rRNA from 1 species
AGAGUUGAUCCUGGCUUAGGAUGAACGCUAGCGGCAGGCUUAACACAUGCAAGUCGAGGGGCAGCGGGAUGUAGCAAUACAUUGCCGGCGACCGGCGGAUGGGUGCGUAACGCGUAUGCAACCUACCUUAUACAGGGGAAUAACCUUUCGAAAGGGAGACUAACACCCCAUAGUAUUGAUUUAAGGCAUCUUAGAUUAAUUAAAUAUUUAUAGGUAUAAGAUGGGCAUGCGUAUGAUUAGCUAGUUGGUAAGGUAACGGCUUACCAAGGCGACGAUCAUUAGGGGUUCUGAGAGGAAGGUCCCCCCACACUGGUACUGAGACACGGACCAGACUCCUACGGGAGGCAGCAGUGAGGAAUAUUGGUCAAUGGGCGCAAGCCUGAACCAGCCAUGCCGCGUGCAGGGAAAAGACGGCCUUAUGGGUUGUAAACUGCUUUUACAUAAGACUAACCGUAUAUUUGCGAAUAUACCUGAAUGUAUUAUGAGAAUAAGGAUCGGCUAACUCCGUGCCAGCAGCAGC